rnacentral:rRNA from 1 species
UACGUAGGGUGCGAGCGUUAAUCGGAAUUACUGGGCGUAAAGCGUGCGCAGGCGGUUUUGUAAGUCUGAUGUGAAAGCCCCGGGCUCAACCUGGGAAUUGCAUUGGAUACUGGCAGGCUAGAGUGCGGUAGAGGGGAGUGGAAUUCCCGGUGUAGCAGUGAAAUGCGUAGAGAUCGGGAGGAACACCAGUGGCGAAGGCGACUACCUGGACCAGCACUGACGCUGAGGCGCGAAAGCGUGGGGAGCAAACAGG